AAGUCGUAACAAGGUCUCCGUAGGUGAGUAAAGAAAACCUCCCCCUUCUCCUCCUUUGGCAUUUGCUAACUAUUCUUUUCUAGGUGAACCUGCGGAGGGAUCAUUACCGAGUUGUAGGGCCUUUCGAGGCCCGAACCUCCCAACCCUGUGUUUACUUGACCAUCGUUGCUUCGGCGAGCCCGUCUUGAUUGACCGCCGGGGGGCUGUAAAAUGUCCUCUGGCCCGUGCUCGUCGGCAGCCAACCCCUAAAUUCUUAACCAAACGUGUUUAUUAUCUGAGUACCAUAUUUUAAUUAAAGCAAAA
rnacentral:misc_RNA from 1 species